rnacentral:lncRNA from 1 species
CACCCCUGACCUCACCUCCCACCCUUGCGCGCCGAGGCUUUUUAUUCCCCUCCCCCACCGGCCGGCCUGCUCCCGCCAGCUCGCUCCUGGAGCCGGAGCUGCAGGGCGCGGGCCGGGAGGUCCGAGGCCGCGCGCCGAUCGAAGAGCCUCGGGACGCGGGCACCGGCCGGAGUGACCGCCUUUCUUAGGAGCGGAGCGCAGCGCCGGGGCUGGGGGUGGUGGCGAGCCGGGCGUCCCUGCAGCUAUGCUGCCUGGUGGUGGGCUCCUGGUGCCUCGGGCGCCCCUCGGUGGCAUUCGCUCAGCUCUCGAGUUUCCUCGGGCAUCUGUGGGCACACUGGCUUCCAGCUGCUCCUUAUUCAUAAGCGCAGGGCAUAGGGCUGUGCAGACCCCAUUAGGGGCCCGAGGGUCCAAAGGCGCCAGGCCACAAGCCCCCUGUUGUGUCUUCAACCCUGAACCUGCAUUUCCUAACAGGAUGGAACAACUUGUCAAAGAGCAGGGCCUGGAUGGAGAAGAACCCAAGUCUUUCUGCCCUGGCCCACCCUGGUUCACCUCUGCUCUUUCUGUGAGGGACCCUCCACCCCUGCCCUCAGAGCCCAGCCUGCCUGCCCAGACCUCCAGUGUGAAUGGGAAUGCGCUUCCUCCCGGAAAGCUUGGCCUCAGAUGGACGACCAGCUCCAUUCUCAGCCUCCUGUCCCAGAGACAGAGCCAGCCGGACAAGAUUGGGGUCAUCUCCAGCCCAGACACACUUCCCUGUUCUUUUCUCGUGGUUCUUGGGUGAAGCCUUGAGGAAGAGCAUCCCCUUUGGAGACGGCGCCCUUGCAUUCCACAGGAAGGGCAAAUUCCUACCAGAACAGCAUGUCCGGCGAUGCCCACGACCCUCCGUUCACCCCACCCUCAGGGGUUCUCAGGAAGAGCGUGUCCCUGGAGCUCACGGCAUUUCUCCUGGGAGGGGCUGCUUCUGAGACCCAGGAAGCAGUUCAAAGGGCAGAAGAGCAGAGCACUAUCAUGUGGACUCGCGGCUUCGGAAUGAGUGCUGGUGCUGGUCAUUGGCCAUCAGGCGGUGUACUGCAGACAGAGGUGGCCACAGGAGGCCCAAGGACAGGGAGAGGUGGAGGAAGGCCCUGAAAUUGCACAGGUUUAUUUUUAACCCAAAGUGGCUGCACACCAGCUCUUCUUUUGAAGAUUCGCUCUGAGCUGACAUCUGUGCCAGUCUUCCUCUGUUUUGUAUGUGGGAUGCCGCCACAGCAUGGCUGACCAGUGGUGUAGGUCCAUACCCGGGAUACGAACCCAUGACCCGGACCGUGAAGCAGAGUGCUGAAUGUAACCACUAAGCCAUGGGGCCAGCCCCAGUCGAGUUUGUCUUAAAGAAGGAAGGACCUGCUUGUCAUACUCCCGGCCAGUGACCGCAGACACUCCCUUCCUUGUGUGUUGGCUGAGCACCUGCUGUGUGCUGGGUGCUACCUGGACGUGAAGGCCUCUGGAGCUGACUGAGUCACCACCAGGGGACACCGACUGUUUCCUGCUUGAUUGCUGGAACAAAAUCGCAUUUCUCACAAACUGUGAGUGUCACUCUUCUGGGGUCUGCCUCUCGGUGCCUCCUAACCUCAGGGGAGCCUGGAGCCUUUCCAGCCUGAAGCCAGCCUGCAGGAAACUGAGGUGGGCCUCUAUCAAACUGCAGCUCCCGUGUUUCCACCUUGGCCCUCAGGUCCCCAGGACGUGCCGUCCACUCAGCAGAUCCCAGUUUCAGGGCUGUGGACCCCAUCCUGCAAAGCAGAGUCCCUGGCUGGGGAUCAGAGCCACACCCCCAACAUGGUCCACUGCCCGGGUGGCCGGGCUAGGGAUUGGAGAGGGAGGGAGGAGGUUGCUUCAGACCACUGGGCAGUGGGUGGGGGGUCUUGGCAGGGGCAGGGGCAGGGGCAGUUCCGAGGGUCGUGGGCCAGGCGUGGUGAGGCGCCUGGGCUGGGCAAGGGCAGCAGAGGCCCCAAAAGAACCCAUCAGAUGGGGUCGCGUGGACCCCAGCCCUUCAGACCCGAGUGAGCAGAGUGAGAAGGACCCCCCCAUUCAGGAACAAAGUGGGACCCCCCUCAGCACGAAGGCACCAGCCAAGCCCAGCAACCAGAAGAGAAGCUAACAGGCAGCCAGCUGAGCUUAUCAGAAGAGAAGGAGGGUUUGCUGUCAGAACAAUCAUGUUCACAGAUUCAAGGAGCACGUCAAUGAUGUGUCAACAGAGGCAGAAGGAGCCUUCGGUAAAAUGAAAAAUCCGCUCGUGACAAGGCGUACAAGAAGGAAACCCUCAGCAAAUGUCGAAUAGAGGCAGCUGUCAUUGACCUCGAGAGUGGCGCCUGUGUGGCCCCGGUGAGGGCCCCUGAGGAGGUGCUGGCGGGGUCUCUGGGUGCUCCUGCCCUGCUGCUCUGCCAGCUCCAGCAGGAAGAGGACAGUGCGGGCCGGGGCGGGAAGAGCAGUUCUCAGCGGUGGGAUGUCGCCGGCACGUAGUGCCCAGGACAUUGGCAGAUUGUAAGACUUGACGAGAGUCGGUCAGCAAGGUCGCUGGGUCCAAAGUCAAUAUUCCCAGUCUGUUCCAUUCCCCUACACUGCGACGAACUUCUCAGGAAAUGAAAGUUAACUUAAAAAUACUAUUUACACAGCAUCAAAAUGACAAAAUACCAAAAAAAAAAAACUAACAAGACAUGCAAGACACUUCUGGGAGGAUUCUCCAG